rnacentral:rRNA from 1 species
AUCCCGGUCAAGGACSRAACGCUGCGGCGUGCCUAAUACAUGCAAGUCGAGCGGWCAGAUGGAAGCURCUCCUGAUGUAAGCGCGACGGGUGAGUAACACGUGGGUAACCUGCCUGUAAGMYGRGAUAACUCCGGGAAACCGGGGCUAAUACCGGAUGGUUGUUGAACCGCAUGGUCAGACAUAAAAGGUGGCUUCGGUACCACUUACAGAWGGACCCGCGGCGCAUAGCUAGUUGGUGAGGUAACGGCUCACCAAGGCGACGAUGCGUAGCCGACCUGAGAGGGUGAUCGGCCACACUGGGACUGAGACACGGCCCAGACUCCUACGGGAGGCAGCAGUAGGGAAUCUUCCGCAAUGGACGAAAGUCUGACGGAGCAACGCCGCGUGAGUGAUGAAGGUUUUCGGAUCGUAAAGCUCUGUUGUUAGGGAAGAACAAGUGCCGUUCAAAUAGGGCGGCACCUUGACGGUACCUAACCAGAAAGCCACGGCUAACUACGUGCCAGCAGCCGCGGUAAUACGUAGGUGGCAAGCGUUGUCCGGAAUUAUUGGGCGUAAAGGGCUCGCAGGCGGUUUCUUAAGUCUGAUGUGAAAGCCCCCGGCUCAACCGGGGAGGGUCAUUGGAAACUGGGGAACUUGAGUGCAGAAGAGGAGAGUGGAAUUCCACGUGUAGCGGUGAAAUGCGUAGAGAUGUGGAGGAACACCAGUGGCGAAGGCGACUCUCUGGUCUGUAACUGACGCUGAGGAGCGAAAGCGUGGGGAGCGAACAGGAUUAGAUACCCUGGUAGUCCACGCCGUAAACGAUGAGUGCUAAGUGUUAGGGGGUUUCCGCCCCUUAGUGCUGCAGCUAACGCAUUAAGCAUCCGKCU